GGUGGCUGAGUGGUAGAGCACUUGCCUCACAUGCAUGAGGCCCUGGGUUCGAUCCCUCAGCACCA
rnacentral:tRNA from 1 species